CCCGGAUAGUAGCGGAAAUCCUUUCUCGAAGAGAAAGAUUGGAGCGGAUAGCCGGAAGUGGC
rnacentral:sRNA from 1 species